GUAGCCGCUCGAAUGGAUUGGUCGGUCUGCUGCCCUUGGGAUAUACAAUUUGUUGCAUGCGAAGAUAUCGAUAGGUGAUACCCCAUAGAAGCAGUGAGGAGGAAAGAAGUUUGAACAGAGUGGCAAGGCCAAAAUUUAAGGGGAAAAGGUUAGCGAAGAGUGGCGCCACCUGGUCCUGGAGAGUGAGAGUUCCGCGCGCUCUCCGGAGCCGUUAUGAGAGAAGAUAUCCGAUUUUUUUUGUUCUGAAAGAAAAAGGGAUCCAGAUCAGUGAGAGACCAGGAACCAGGACUAGCGGGACGGGAAAGAGACCCAAGAAGCAUAAGAGGAAUAGGUCACAGCUCCGCCAUCCUGGCUUGCUUUUUGCUGGGCUCGAAUACACAAUCCUGGCCACAUAGUGCGGGUCCCUCGCCCAUUUAGGGAGAGAAAAAAAAUCAUCAAUCAACUUAUUUACUCCCAUUAUUUAUUUUUGUUAGACGUCUCCAUUUAUA